UACGUAGGGUCCAAGCGUUAUCCGGAAUUACUGGGCGUAAAGCGUGCGUAGGCGGCGCGUUAAGUGAGAUGCGAAAUCCUGUGGCUCAACCAUAUGGACUGUAUCUCAUACUGGCGUGCUUGAGGUCGGCAGAGGCAAGUGGAAUUACCGGUGUAGCAGUGAAAUGCGUAGAUAUCGGUAGGAACACCAAUGGCGAAAGGCAGCUUGCUGGGCCGCACCUGACGCUGAGGUACGAAAAGCGUGGGGGAGCGAACAGG
rnacentral:rRNA from 1 species